rnacentral:rRNA from 1 species
CUACGGGCGGCAGCAGUGAGGAAUAUUGCACAAUGGAGGGAACCCUGAUGCAGCAACGCCGCGUGGAGGAUGACGCAUUUCGGUGUGUAAACUCCUUUUAUAUGUCAAGAAAAUGACGGUAGCAUAUGAAUAAGCACCGGCUAACUCCGUGCCAGCAGCCGCGGUAAUACGGAGGGUGCAAGCGUUACUCGGAAUCACUGGGCGUAAAGGACGCGUAGGCGGGUUGGAAAGUCAGGUGUGAAAUCCUACAGCUUAACUGUAGAACUGCACUUGAAACUUCUAAUCUAGAGUAUGGGAGGGGGAGAUGGAAUUAGUGGUGUAGGGGUAAAAUCCGUAGAUACCACUAGGAAUACCUAAAGCGAAGGCGAUCUCCUGGAACAUUACUGACGCUAAGGCGUGAAAGCGUGGGGAGCAAACAGGAUUAGAUACCCUAGUAGUC